CCCUCUCUCUCUCUCUUUCGCGCUCCCCAUCUGCUCUCUGCUCUGCGCUCCGUCUCCCUCACCCAAUAUUUUCUCCCCUCCCACGGCACAGCACAGAGCUGAGAGAUCUGGAGAGAGAAAAUUUUUGAAUAAAAUCAAGCGCCCUCUCUCUCCAGUCUCUCUCUCUCUUUCGCGCUCCCAAUCUCUAUCCCUGCGCUCUGUCUCCCUCACGCCGCGCCCACGCCGACGCCGCCUCCGACGAGCGACGCCCUAGCCUCCGCCUCCGCCUUAGCCUCCGAUGCCGACGCCUCCGACGAGCAAGGUCUGCUGCUGCCCACGAGCGACGUCCGUCGCCUCCCACGAGCCGUUGCCUCCCACGAGCGAGGUCCGCUGCCUCCGAUGAGCGAGGUCCGUCUCCUCGCGUCAACGCCGACCCCUAGCCUUCGACGAGCGACGCCCUAGACGCCGACGCCGAUGCCGACGACACCUCCGACGAAGCCCGACGCCGACGCCCUAGCCUCAGACGCCAACCCACAAAAGUUCAAUUUCCAAACUCAUUGAGGUUUCAUGAGUUCACGCCUUCUGAAUGUUCGCUGAAUAGUGGGCAGGCCGUGCAUUUUCUUUCUAAGCGCAUCGUGCCUCUAAACCAAGCCCGCGGGUUUUUCCAUUGGAGGAGGUUGCACAAUUGGAGGACAUAAUAGCAGAAAGAGGAGCUUGUGGAGUUGGGUUUAUUGCCCCGACUUCCGCCGUUGCCUCCGCCCGCCCAAGAGCAGCUGGGUCCCAAGCUCGUUCGCAAUCUCCACCACCAGUCAAACUCACUCUCUCCCUCGCUGAAGUUCCUUCUUGAACGCACGAUGAAGCAGCUCGCGCGGAGCGAAUGAUUUGCAGGUCGUUUCGCCUCUGGAAUUCGUGCUCCGAGCUUCGGAUGGUGAAUUGAUGUAUCCGUUUCUUCCAUGGUGGUGGUGCUGAUCUAGGUCCUCUUCCGCUGCUGCAUCGGACCUCGGGAAUGGAGGUCGUGGUUCACUAGGGAAUCGGAGGAGGAUCUGCUGGCUGUAUUGAUGAAGCUAAGAGAUGAGUAUAACUACUGCCUCUUCUGUGGAUGUUGGGAGGUCUCUAAGUCAAUGAAGUCGCCACUAUGCAGCUGAUCUAUUGCAGGUAGUCUAUAGCGACGUCUAUAUGCUUGUGGUAUGAAAUGGAUGGUGAUCGGUAAGCUUCCUUACCGCGUCAAAACCGCAAUCGCAAGCUUUUGUGACGGCUGGUUGUACUUUACAUCGGGGUAGCGGGAUCGAGGGCCAGAUAAUCCGCAACCUAAGAUGGUCAUUGGAGACAUGUGGAGGACCAAAUUGAGACUCUGA